rnacentral:rRNA from 1 species
UACGGGGGGGGCAAGCGUUGUUCGGAAUUACUGGGCGUAAAGGGCGCGUAGGCGGCUUUAUAAGUCGGGGGUGAAAGCCUGUGGCUCAACCACAGAAUUGCCUUCGAUACUGUAGAGCUUGAGACCGGAAGAGGUAAGUGGAACUGCGAGUGUAGAGGUGAAAUUCGUAGAUAUUCGCAAGAACACCAGUGGCGAAGGCGGCUCACUGGCCCGGUACUGACGCUGAGGUGCGAAAGCGUGGGGAGCAAACAGG